UCAGGAUGAACGCUAGCUACAGGCUUAACACAUGCAAGUCGAGGGGCAGCAUGGGAUUAGCUUGCUAAUCCUGAUGGCGACCGGCGCACGGGUGAGUAACGCGUAUCCAACCUUCCCCUUACUCAGGGAUAGCCCGCUGAAAGGCGGAUUAACACCUGAUGGUUUCAUUAGAUGGCAUCUGACGAUGAAUAAAGUUUACGGUAAGGGAUGGGGAUGCGUCUGAUUAGCUUGUUGGCGGGGUAACGGCCCACCAAGGCAACGAUCAGUAGGGGUUCUGAGAGGAAGGUCCCCCACAUUGGAACUGAGACACGGUCCAAACUCCUACGGGAGGCAGCAGUGAGGAAUAUUGGUCAAUGGGCGAGAGCCUGAACCAGCCAAGUAGCGUGCAGGAUGACGGCCCUAUGGGUUGUAAACUGCUUUUAUGCGGGGAUAAAGUGAGGGACGUGUCCCUUUUUGUAGGUACCGCAUGAAUAAGGACCGGCUAAUUCCGUGCCAGCCGCUGC
rnacentral:rRNA from 1 species